rnacentral:rRNA from 1 species
GGGGUGACGGCGUGCCUUUUGCAUAAUGAGCCUACGAGUUACCGUUGCCAGCGAGGUUAAGUGGUUAAGCCACGGAUCCGUAGCGAAAGCGAGUCUGAAUAGGGCGCUUUAGUUGGUAGUGGUAGACGCGAAACCGUGUGAUCUACCCAUGGGCAGGUUGAAGUUUAGGUAACACUAAAUGGAGGACCGAACCGCCAGACGUUGAAAAGUCUUCGGAUGACCUGUGGGUAGGGGUGAAAGGCCAAUCAAACUCGGAAAUAGCUCGUACUCCCCGAAAUGCAUUUAGGUGCAGCGUUGAUUUAUAGUUUUAUAGAGGUAGAGCUACUGAUUGGAUGCGGGGGCUUCACCGCCUACCAAUUCCUGACAAACUCCGAAUGCUAUAAAAUGUUGAUCAGCAGUGAGGGCUUGGGUGCUAAGGUCCAAGUCCGAGAGGGAAAGAACCCAGACCAUCAGCUAAGGUCCCCAAAUAUAUGUUAAGUUGAAAGAACGCGGUCGAACUGCACAGACAGCUAGGAUGUUGGCUUGGAAGCAGCCAUUCAUUUAAAGAGUGCGUAACAGCUCACUAGUCGAGCGGUUCGGCAUGGAUAAUAAUCGGGCAUAAACAUAUUACCGAAGCUAUGGA